AUGGAGUUUUGCUCUUGUUGCCCAGGCUGGAGUGCAAUGGCAGCUAUCUCAGCUCACUGUAACCUCUGCCUCGCGGGUUCAAGCGAUUCUCCUGCCUCAGCCUCCUGAGUAGCUGGGAUUACAGGCAUGCCCCACCAUGCCUGGCUAAUUUUGUAUUUUUAGUAGAGACAGGGUUUCUCCAUGCUGGUCAGGCUGGCCUCGAACGCCCGGCCUCAGGUGAUCUGCCUGCCUCGGCCUCCCAAAGUGCUGGGAUUAUAGUGUGAGCCACCAUGCCCGGCCUGUAGCAAACAUUUAAAACUGAUCUCUGUGUAUUUAGUCUUGCUCUACUUCAGGACAUUCUCAAUACUGCAGCAAAAGUUAUUCUAAAAUGCAAAUCUCAUUUUGGCAGGGAUGCUGCUAAAUAUCCUACAGUGCACAGAACGGCCACCAACGACCAAGAAUUAUCCAGUCCAAAAUGUCAGUAAAGCUGAGGUUAAGAAAUCCUGUUCCAGAAUAUCACAUUUUUUGAACUCACUAUUUAGCCAGAGUCGGAAGGCA
rnacentral:lncRNA from 10 species